AUGCUCAUUUCGGCAGCACAUACACUAAAAUUAGAAUGAUACAGAGAAGAUUAGCACAGCCCCUGCGCAAGGAUGACAUGGAAAUUUGUGAAGCAUUCCAUAUAAAU
rnacentral:snRNA from 1 species